AACGGACGCUGGCGGCAGGCUUAACACAUGCAAGUCGAGCGCCCCGCAAGGGGAGCGGCAGACGGGUGAGUAACGCGUGGGAAUCUACCCAUCUCUACGGAAUAACGCAUGGAAACGUGUGCUAAUACCGUAUACGUCCUUCGGGAGAAAGAUUUAUCGGAGAGGGAUGAGCCCGCGUUGGAUUAGCUAGUUGGUGGGGUAAAGGCCUACCAAGGCGACGAUCCAUAGCUGGUCUGAGAGGAUGAUCAGCCACACUGGGACUGAGACACGGCCCAGAAUCCGACGGGAGGGAGCAGUGGGGAAUAUUGGACAAUGGGCGCAAGCCUGAACCAGCCAUGCCGCGUGAGUGAUGAAGGCCCUAGGGUUGUAAAGCUCUUUCACCGGUGAAGAUAAUGACGGUAACCGGAGAAGAAGCCCCGGCUAACUUCGUGCCAGCCGCCGCCGUAAGAC
rnacentral:rRNA from 1 species